UACAAUUAUCCAAAAUGACGAUAAUGUCCCUAACCAUUUAGUUCUGGUUGACCAGAGUGGUCAAGUAUUCGAUCCAUCUAAAACUCAGAAACCAGCCGACGACGACGAAGUAGUGAAGUAUAGAGGAAGAGAAACAAUGGGGAAAGCAUCGACAUCGUCAACGACCAAGGACGCGCUUGCCCUCCUCAGUUCUCUUCGCUCAGCUUACUCUGCCACUCCCAUCACCCUCAAGAUCAUUGAUCUCUAUGUUGCUUUCGCUGUGUCCACAGCUCUCAUCCAGGUAGUUUACAUGGCUAUCGUCGGAUCAUUCCCAUUUAACUCAUUUCUCUCAGGAGUACUUUCUUGUACAGGGACAGCAGUCCUUGCUGUUUGUCUCCGUAUUCAAGUGAACAAAGAAAACAAAGAAUUUAAGGAUUUACCACCAGAACGGGCUUUUGCAGAUUUUGUUCUCUGCAACUUGGUGCUGCACUUGGUGAUUAUGAAUUUCCUUGGAUAAGUUAGCAUCUUUUGGUCUUCAUUGAUACUGUUUCCUGGAACAAUGAUGAUAAGAUAUGAUGCGGCACAGAAAAUUGGCACAUCAGAGUUGGGGAAAGGGUGUCAGCCCGAUCGGCUAUCAUCAGUAGUCAUUACCUACUGUUGUCAUCGUGGAUGUGGGAACAUGUUGGGAA